ensembl:misc_RNA Metazoa_SRP Metazoan signal recognition particle RNA
GCUGGGUGUGGUGGCGCGCGCCUGUAGUCCCAGCUACUCAGGAGGCUGAGGCACGAGAAUCCCUUGAAACUGGGAGGUGGAGGUUGUAGUGAGCCGAGAUCGUGCCACUGCACUCUAGCCUGGGUGACAGAGGGAGACUGUGUCUCAA